rnacentral:rRNA from 1 species
AACGAACGCUGGCGGCAUGCCUAACACAUGCAAGUCGAACGAGACCUUCGGGUCUAGUGGCGCGCGGGUGCGUAACGCGUGGGAAUCUGCCCUUGGGUUCGGAAUAACUUACGGGAAACUGAAGCUAAUACCGGAUGAUGUCGUAAGACCAAAGAUUUAUCGCCCAAGGAUGAGCCCGCGUAGGAUUAGCUAGUUGGUGAGGUAAAAGCUCACCAAGGCGACGAUCCUUAGCUGGUCUGAGAGGAUGAUCAGCCACACUGGGACUGAGACACGGCCCAGACUCCUACGGGAGGCAGCAGGUGGGGAAUAUUGGACAAUGGGCGAAAGCCUGAUCCAGCAAUGCCGCGUGAGUGAUGAA